GAUGAACGCUGGCGGCGUGCCUAAUACAUGCAAGUCGAGCGAACAGAUAAGGAGCUUGCUCCUUUGACGUUAGCGGCGGGCGGGUGAGUAACACGUGGGUAACCUACCUAUAAGACUGGAAUAACUCCGGGAAACCGGGGCUAAUGCCGGAUAACAUUUAGAACCGCAUGGUUCUAAAGUGAAAGAUGGUUUUACUAUCACUUAUAGAUGGACCCGCGCCGUAUUAGCUAGUUGGUAAGGUAACGGCUUACCAAGGCAACGAUACGUAGCCGACCUGAGAGGGUGAUCGGCCACACUGGAACUGAGACACGGUCCAGACUCCUACGGGAGGCAGCAGUAGGGAAUCUUCCGCAAUGGGCGAAAGCCUGACGGAGCAACGCCGCGUGAGUGAUGAAGGUCUUCGGAUCGUAAAACUCUGUUAUUAGGGAAGAACAAAUGUGUAAGUAACUGUGCACGUCUUGACGGUACCUAAUCAGAAAGCCACGGCUAACUACGUG
rnacentral:rRNA from 1 species